rnacentral:rRNA from 1 species
CGUGGGUGACCUACCUUCGAAUGGGGGAUAACGUCCCGAAAGGGACGCUAAUACCGCAUAACAUCCUGUCCUUGAACGGAUGGUGAUCAAAGCCGGGGAUCGCAAGACCUGGCGUUUGAAGAGGGGCCCGCGUCCGAUUAGCUAGUUGGCGGGGUAACGGCCCACCAAGGCUUCGAUCGGUAGCCGGCCUGAGAGGGCGGACGGCCACACUGGGACUGAGACACGGCCCAG